ensembl:lncRNA
CCUCCACCAAAUAAAUAAAUAAAUAAAACAAAAACCUGUGCUGAAAAGAUUAAUUAGAGAGCACACUGUGGAUUUAACAGCUAACCCCCCAUUGGUUAGCGCACAGACAGGCAGUCCUGUGCAGAAAGACCCUCUCUGGGCACAGACCCAUCUCCCCUGGGUUUAGUCCAACUCCACCAACUCCACAGUAGAGCACUGUAAGUCGGUGAAGAGCUACAGAGGUGAAUGUGGCCGUGCAAUCACAUGGCUCACCCCGAGCAACACGGCCACUGCUGAAACAGAGGCUUCCAGACAACAUCUAUCUUUAAGCGCUCACUAAGGAACCACUUACUGUGUCCGCCUCAGCCUGACCCCAAGUGACUCAGUAUGCAGAGCUGGAAGCAAAACCAGCUGGCCUCCAAAGCAAGCCAGGACACAGAAAUCAUUAGAAGUUAAUAUCAGUACCAGGUUUUGUAACCAAAUUUCUGUUUUCCAGCUGAAAAACAAGUUAAGGCAGAAGGUGCUUUUCCUAUUAAUGCCUAACCCCUUCUGUGAGCAGCACUGCUGCUGGUCUCAGAACCCAGGGGACUGUCACUGCAGGAGAAGGUUUAAAUAUCAACACCAGAUUCAAGAGUAGGAGCGAGCUGUGCUGAGCUCUCCCACCCACAGCACGGGGCCUGGCGCAAAGGGGAGCUGAGGAUGUUUACCGCAGGUUGGAGAGGGGAAUUCCACCUCCCAGUAUUGCUGUUAGCUUCUCAGCAGUGUUUGUACAAGUGCCAAGACUCCAUGAGCUCUGAGGCAGAGCUGUGAGGGUGUUGGCUUGCUCUCCACUGGAUCUGCAAGCUGAGGCUGGUUCGGGAGCAGUUCUUGCACUCCUCUGCAUGUGCCCACCUGGGCCCAGCCCUGCGCAGGGCAGCUCAUCUCAGUGUCAGCAGUUUGCUCGAGCAAGGUUUGAGUGCAUAAAUGCACAUUAAUCAGCUGCCAGGUUCCUGGUUCCUGCUGUUUUUCUCCUCGACUGUUCACAAUACUGAAAGUGCCCCAAGCUUGGCAGCAUUGGAAGCCCUCCAGAAGCACCCUACUCCUCACAGCAGCUGGAGAGACUUCACUAAUUGUUAAGGAAGAAAUUAGGUGACCAAGGCAUCAGCACGUUGAGACCUUAGCUACAGCCUGCUGCAGCCAAGAGAAAGCCUGUUUUCUUUAGGAGCUGUGGAUCUGCAGCUGAUGGGAGUCCCCAGACCCGAGCAGCCAGUCAUCCCCAGCCAUGGGGCACGUGGGGGUCUGAGGUCUCCUCGGCUUUGUCACUGUGAGGGAGCAGUAGGAACACAAGGAACUCAGGCAGGCUUCUGCCUGCAUAUGGAUAAUUACCUCAUCUAAUCUGCGUGUGAAGGAGCCCCUGGCACCAGCACAAAGCAAGCAGUACUCGGAACAAUAAAACCAGACUGGGAUUUUACCAUAACCCUUCCCAACAGGCAAACUGCAGCGCAGGCAGGUGUGUUCAAUGCAUUCUGACCUGGUGCUUUCCCAGAGACCAAUAAAACAUUCAGGAGAACUCAGAAGAAAACAGGGCUGUUGUUGUUUAUCUGAGCUUAUCUGCUCAGCCCUAUCACUAGGCUUGUUUCCCCAAAGUGCUCAUAAAGAGACAAGCCCUCAGUGGAGCAGGAACGCUUCCCAGCUGACACGAGGCUGGUGGCCAGGCAUGGGGAGCUGCACACACACACACACACACACACACACACACACACACACAGCCAUGCAGCCAUGCACUCCUGGAGCCGCAUCCCUACUCCAGGGUAAUGGCAAAGAAACCUUGGGUAACUCUAUCAGUUCAGGUAAGUUUUGUUUCCCCUGAGUGAAGAAGGUUUUGUUUCUGCUCUGCUCUCGUCUAUCUUGAGCAAUAAUCAUUAAGUGAAAUGAGUCCAGCAGGGCAAAGUCGCCAGGCUUAUCCAGCCCUUUGUACUUCCUUCCCACCAGGACUAACAAAAACAGGUGAAAUGUCGCAAUCCAACAGCAUGCAGUCAGAUAUCACCACUCCUGGCAGGCUCCAGAUAGCCAAAAAUUGCCUCUUUUUUCCAGCUCGAUCUAUUUUACUGCUGCAGAGAUGUCAGCCUUCCUGUUAGUCACCACACAAUGAGGCAUAGCAUGUCACCACUGAGCUGGGUCUGUCUAGAUGCCCUUUGUUCUUCUCUCUUCCACAUGUACCUCCUCAUGCCUUAGACAUCUGUUUUCUGUGGAUCUCCUCCUUGCACAGCUAAAGAGAAGGUUUAAACCUAAGGCGAGCAGGACUUCUGUCAGGCCUUUGCAAUAAGGAAGCAGCAUCUCUCUCCUGCAACAGUGUUUCUAUCAGAGAUCAAGAGAGGUCUUUCAAAGGCGUUUUGCAUGCAACUAUCCAUGACUGGUGUAGUUCUCACCAUAAGGAAGGCCAUGCAGCUUAGUGGUAUGAGAGUCGGGCGUGCUUGGAUCCUCGCUGGCAAAGCCAGUAACCUGACCUUGCAGACUUUGCAGGGUUAGUUCCAUCUCAGCCUAUUGUAUCUGUAUUGUUUUUCUGCUCAGACUGCAUGACAGGGAAAUAACCACAGGAAUUCUGCAGCUGUGUCCAACACUGCUGCAUUCCUGGCUUUUCAACUUACUGUAACUGCACGCUGAGUCACAAUUUUUCUUUUUUUUUCUUUUUUUUCUUUUUUUUUUGAUGGUCUAUUUUAUCCUGGGAAUGAAGAGCAUGGGAAGUUUGUCCCCCGUCUGAGUUUGCUCCUUGAAGGACGACAGCAGUGUGUCUCACAAGCACACGCUCCCCACACAGGUACCUGUGUGCGUGGUAGGGUGGAUCCACUCAGAUCUGCUGAACUUCACCUGGGAGGAUGUGGGGAAGGGAGCAGAUGGGCCCCAGCAUUGAGCCCUGGCAUGCACUGCCAGCCUCGCUCACUGCCUCACCCCGAGCACUUCUCGUCUCACCCAAAGACCUCCUUCAUACACAAUAACUUCCCAGGUGUGCCAAGACAAGCAUAACAUUGUCUUGGGACCCACAAACAUUUUGAAGCUUGAGUAAUGUUUGCUCUCCAACUCCAGCUGAGGCUGUUUACCCAGAGGUUUUGCAGUACGGUGACAUCUUCCUCUUCUCUCCUUACACAAUUAGGUGCACAACUCGCUCAUCCCAAUUAAUUUAGUCUGCUGAGAAAAAUAAAAUCCAUAUAUGAAAUCUAAUAGCACAGGUAGAUCUGGGGGGAUUAACAAUAUGAAGGAGAACAUUGUCAAGCAUAUAAUGAUAUUUUGUGGUAUGUUUGCUACAGCUAAUGCUUAUAAUUGCAUUUUGCAGUUUAAUUCUAGUAGCCAAAGG